GGGACGAACGCUGGCGGCGUGCCUAACACAUGCAAGUCGAACGAGAUCCAUCCAGUGGCAACACUGGUGAAGAUCUAGUGGCGAACGGGUGAGUAACACGUGAGGAACCUGCCCCGAAGACCGGGAUAACUCUCCGAAAGGAGAGCUAAUACCGGAUACCUCCAUCUGAUCGCAUGGUCGGAUGAAGAAAUGGAUUCCGCUUCGGGAGGGCCUCGCGGCCUAUCAGCUAGUUGGUGAGGUAACGGCUCACCAAGGCGUCGACGGGUAGCUGGUCUGAGAGGACGAUCAGCCACACUGGAACUGAGACACGGUCCAGACUCCUACGGGAGGCAGCAGUGGGGAAUCUUGCGCAAUGGGCGAAAGCCUGACGCAGCAACGCCGCGUGGGGGAUGAAGGCUCUCGGGUUGUAAACCCCUUUCAGUAGGGACGAAAUCAGACGGUACCUACAGAAGAAGCCCCGGCCAACUACGUGCCAGCAGCCGC
rnacentral:rRNA from 1 species